CUGAGUUAAAAUAAAUGUUCUGAACUGGAGCAGCCCUCGCUCCCUUCAUCCUCCCCCGCCUCCUUGAAUUCUUCUCUUUCCAUCUUUCCCUAACUGACAGGUCAGUCUGUUUUACUUGGAAGAGGUCCGGGUGGAACAACAUUGAGAUCGUUUUCGACAGGAAACUGCAGCAGCUGACUUCCAUUAGAGCUCAAUUCAGUCUGCCGCCUUCAGCACCAGGAAGACAUGGCACAGAAAAAGCACUAGAAGGGGCCACCAGGCCCCUAAUGGAGAGUGAUUUAUUGAAUGGCUUUGGCUUGCUGUUGGCCCUGGGCCUGUCUCCUAAUUGAGCACCUGGUGCUGCAUGGGAAAAGUUAAUAUGAUAUAAAUUGAUACUGUGGCAGUGGCCGUGGCAGGGCUCGGGAGGCAGCAUGGACUCAUGCCUGCUUCCCCAUGGAGAUAGGACCAGAUGCUCCAGGAGGAAGGCGGAACAGCAAGGGAACACUGAGGUGACAGAUAGGCCUCAUGUGAGGCUGGAGAGGUGGGCCAGAACCGUGUGACUGCAGAUGUUGUGCUGGAGUUUCUAGUCACUGAUUCUGAUACCAUCCGUGCUCAAACAGAAGACUGGAAAAUUAUAAAUAAUGGUGAAAUCCUGGAGUCAUGAUUCAUGGUGUUUUGGCAGAUGGAUUGUACUUGACAUUACUGUUGUUCUCUACACCUAAAUGAAAAAUGUGUAACGGAUAUGGUGCACUUUUAGUAUCCAAAGGUGUCAGCAAAAUUUAUUUUAUAUUUCUGAAAAUUCAACUGUGUUAACACUUGUCAAUAUAUCUUUAUCUAAAUUAAAAUGUGAAAAAAAGAAGUGUUAUUAGACAUAUUGUAAACUUAAUGUAAUAUUUUUGCAUACACUUAUUUUUGUUGUACUUACAUGCAAGCAGUUUGAAAGUUAACAUUUUAAACAAAAAAUAAACUAAUAUAUACUUAGAGUACUAGAUAUGACCAGAUAGUUAUACAUUCAUUCAAAAGUUUAGGGGUUGUGCGAUUUAUUUAUUUAUCUAUUUAUUUAUUUAUGAAUGAAUGAAUGAAUGAAUGAAUGAAUGAAUGAAUGAAAUGACUCCUUUUGUUCACCAAAAGGAAUAAAAUGUAUAAUGUUUUGAGAGAUUUCUAUUUCAAAUGAAUGCUGUUCUUUUGAACUUUCAAUUCAUCACAGAAUCCUGAAAAUGAUAAUAAUAAGAAAACAAAAAUAUUGAUAAUAAUUUUACUUUAAUUUUACACCAAAUCAGCUUAUUAAAAUGAUUUCUACAGGACCGUGUGACACUGAAGAAUGGAUUAAUGACUGCUGACUAUUCAAAUUUGCCAUCACAGGAAUAAACUAUUUUAAUAAAUUAUUUUAAAAUAUUUUGAAAAAAAAACAAAAUAAAGAAAAUCAUUUUAUUUGGAAUGAUCAGUAAUCACUAUAUUCCAGUUUGUACUGUAUUUAUGAUCACAUAAAUGCAGCUUUGGUGAGCAUCAGAUACCAUUUUCAAAAGCAUAAAUACACUGAAUUUGUAGUAUACUGUACAUUUAGCCUUUCUUCCCCAGAGACCAAAAUUAUGACUGGUUCUUUAUGCUAACAGUGAAUAAAUGUAUUGAAAAGAGUGAUCGGUUUUCAUAAGUUAGCCACACUCAGCCUGUAUAAACCCUGUGGAGUCACACAGAAAAGCCAGUUUUAGCAUUUUCCUGUGCCCCUUCAUCUAGAGAGAUGGAGGGAGAAUGAAAGAGGAAAAAGGGCCUGUUCUUUGUGGGUCCCCCCUGAGGACGGUUGUGUCUUGACAGCUCACUCCCACAAACGAAACGGAGUGCCAGAUCCAUUCAGCAACCCUGUUCAUUUCUCUGUCCCUAUCCACUCCUCUUACUCCAGCAAAUCAGGUGCUGAAUAUACAAAACUUAUGCCCACUGGCAGCUUCAGACUGCAGAUCAGUGAGAUGGGGAAAAAGACAAUCUAGUAAAAAGUCUUUUUCAAUAUAUUUCUUUCUCUGCCUAGCUACAUUCUGCCAAACUCGCAGUCCAAAGCACACAGGCUUAUCCAGAAUAAUCUUCUGAGGGAAUUCCGCUCUGUAGCUCUUCUUAGUACUCGUCUGUCAAUACAAAGACUUGCAUGGCUUUGGAUGGAUUUACCUCCUUCCUUCUCCAGUUAGACUUACAAAUAUUCCUGCCUCAGUGCAUUUCA
ensembl:lncRNA